UACAGAGACUGCAAGCGUUAUUCGGAUUCACUGGGCGUAAAGGGUGCGCAGGCGGUUGGGUGUGUCAGAUGUGAAAUCCCGAGGCUUAACCUCGGAACUGCGUCUGAAACUACUCGACUAGAGUAUUGGAGAGGGUAACGGAAUUCACGGUGUAGCAGUGAAAUGCGUAGAUAUCGUGAGGAACACCAGAGGCGAAGGCGGUUACCUGGACAAUUACUGACGCUCAGGCACGAAAGCAUGGGGAGCAAACGGG
rnacentral:rRNA from 1 species